AGUGAAAUCGAGUAGGACGGGGCACGUGAAACCUUGUCUGAAUAUGGGGGGACCAUCCUCCAAGGCUAAAUACUACCUGUCGACCGAUAGUGAACCAGUACCGUGAGGGAAAGGCGAAAAGAACCCCGGCGAGGGGAGUGAAAUAGAACCUGAAACCGUAUGCGUACAAGCAGUGGGAGCCCCUUCGGGGGUGACUGCGUACCUUUUGUAUAAUGGGUCAGCGACUUACUCUCAGUGGCAAGGUUAACCGAAUAGGGAAGCCGUAGGGAAACCGAGUCCUAACCGGCGUCAUAGUCGCUGGGAGUAGACCCGAAACCGGGCGAUCUACCCAUGGGCAGGGUGAAGGCGAGGUAAAACUCGCUGGAGGCCCGAACCCACUAACGUUGAAAAGUUAGGGGAUGACCUGUGGGUCGGAGUGAAAGGCUAAACAAGCCCGGAGAUAGCUGGUUCUCCCCGAAAGCUAUUUAGGUAGCGCCUCGUGUCUCACUCUCGGGGGUAGAGCACUGUUUCGGCUAGGGGGCCCCCAGGGGUUUACCAACCCGAUGCAAACUCCGAAUACCGAGAAGUGCAAUCACGGGAGACAGACGGCGGGUGAUAAGGUCCGUCGUCGAGAGGGAAACAGCCCAGACCGCCAGCUAAGGCCCCAAAAUCGUGAUUAAGUGGAAAACGAUGUGGGAAGGCAUAGACAGCCAGGAGGUUGGCUUAGAAGCAGCCACCCUUUAAAGAAAGCGUAAUAGCUCACUGGUCGAGUCGGCCUGCGCGGAAGAUUCAACGGGGCUCAAAUCACGUGCCGAAGCUGCGGAUGCUAGCUUGCUAGCAUGGUAGGGGAGCGUUCUGUACGCCUGCGAAGGUGG
rnacentral:rRNA from 1 species